rnacentral:rRNA from 1 species
ACUCAAAUGAAUAGACGGGGGCCCGCACAAGCGGCGGAGCAUGUGGAUUAAUUCGAUGCAACGCGAAGAACCUUACCUGGGCUUGACAUGUACCAGAUAUCCCUAGAGAUAGGGCUCCCUUGUGGUUGGUAUGCAGGUGGUGCAUGGCUGUCGUCAGCUCGUGUCGUGAGAUGUUGGGUUAAGUCCCGCAACGAGCGCAACCCUUAUCCUAUGUUGCCAGCGCGUAAUGGCGGGGACUCGUGGGAGACUGCCGGGGUCAACUCGGAGGAAGGUGGGGAUGACGUCAAGUCAUCAUGCCCCUUAUGUCCAGGGCUUCACACAUGCUACAAUGGCCGGUACAGAGGGUUGCGAUACCGCGAGGUGGAGCGGAUCCCUUAAAGCCGGUCUCAGUUCGGAUUGUAGUCUGCAACUCGACUGCAUGAAGUCGGAGUCGCUAGUAAUCGCAGAUCAGCAACGCUGCGGUGAAUACGUUCCCGGGCCUUGUACACACCGCCCGU